GCACAAUUCGAGCUAUUGCUGAGGUUAGGGUUUAUGCUUUAAUUAGCUAUUCUCUUUCUUUGGCUGUUAUGUGUGUGUUCAAUUGAUUGUGUUUGUGCGUAUGGCCCAUUAGUAUAUAAAAAGUUCCAUUUGAGGUUUUAAUGCGAAAUGUUAUGUAAUUUAGUUCUUGCGUGAAUUAAAUUCUACAAGAAAGGAAAAAGGGUUCUGG
rnacentral:misc_RNA from 1 species